CUAGCGAUAGUAAGCGAAUCCCAAAAAGUGCGUCGUAGUCCGGAUCGGAGUCUGCAACUCGACUCCGUGAAGUCGGAAUCGCUAGUAAUCGUGAAUCAGAAUGUUACGGUGAAUACGUUCCCGGGCCUUGUACACACCGCCCGUCACACCAUGGGAGUGGGCUGCAAAAGAAGUGGGUAGUUUAACCUUUCGGGGAGGACGCUCACCACUUUGUGGUUCAUGACUGGGGUGAAGUCGUAACAAGGUAGCCCUAGGGGAACCUGGGGCUGGAUCACCUCCUUAACGAUAGAU
rnacentral:rRNA from 1 species